UGGCGGACGGGUGAGUAAUGUCUGGGAAACUGCCUGAUGGAGGGGGAUAACUACUGGAAACGGUAGCUAAUACCGCGUAACGUCGCAAGACCAAAGAGGGGGACCUUCGGGCCUCUUGCCAUCGGAUGUGCCCAGAUGGGAUUAGCUAGUAGGUGAGGUAACGGCUCACCUAGGCGACGAUCCCUAGCUGGUCUGAGAGGAUGACCAGCCACACUGGAACUGAGACACGGUCCAGACUCCUACGGGAGGCAGCAUG
rnacentral:rRNA from 1 species